rnacentral:tRNA from 1 species
AGGGCUAUAGCUCAGUUGGUAGAGCAACUCGUUUACAGAAGGUCUACGGUUCGAGUCCGUAUAGCCCUA